UUGGGUAUUGAAUUGUGAUUGUCACAUUGUCACAGAUCAGCAGUGACUUGUGCAUAAUGAAUUACUGUUCUUUCUUACAGGUUGCAAGUAAACCUCUAAUGAUUGUAGGGUCUAAUUAGCAACAGUGUCAACUCUUUUAACUAGAAAUAAUUGAUUAAAAACUUUCACUGUGAGAGCUCCACCCAUUCCUAAGAAACACCCAAUUUAAAAAAAGCACUGGAGCUCAUGUGUCACUGGAUGAGAAAAGAAACUCUGUGUCACAGCAUGUAAUUCUGAACUAUAUGAUUUUCCUAAAGGUCUUGGACUUCAGGUGAAAGACGUUCUGUCAGCCAGGAUUCAGGAACAUCCCUCAGGAAGAGAGAGCUACCUGCUGCUUUGUCUGUGUAUUGUGCCCCGAGAGAGAAAUAUGUAAUCAGACAGAAAAGAAAAGUGUCUGUGGGGCUCAAGUUUGAGUUGAAACCAGGCUCAGGGUCCACCUGUCCUCGCUGAUCCGUGGAUUUCUGUGUGACCAGCUGACACCUAUGGAGCUGUGGCCCUGACUACUACCACUUUGGGGCACAACCUGAAGACCCUCACAGUCACCUUCCCCAUCUCCACCCUCCAGUAUUCAUCAGACAGGAGCAACGGCUCAGCCACGUUCCACUCCACUGAGAGGGUCCUGCAGAGCCUGGUGAGACCCUGGUUCCAGCAGCUCCUGGCCUGAGAAGGAUGGGGAAGCCACCGGUGUGGACGCUGUCUGCACCCACCGCCGUGACCCCGUGGGCCACCAUGCCUCUG